GGAACAGUCUAGCAACGGCCGCCUAACAGUCACUUGGCUGGAGAGAGUCAGCAGCGAACAUGCUGUGCUGCUUUCCCAGGCCUCCAGGCCGCAGCCUCAGGACCCAGCCCAGGGAAAGCACUUGGGAGCGAGGGAGAAGAUGGAUCACUGGGUCCAGACGCUCCAGGCCACCGGCCAGGAACCUUCCUGCCCUCAUGGGCAGCCCAGGGCAGGUCUCACCAGACCCAGGCGACCACUGGCCCUGAGAUGAGAGGGAGCCCAGGGCAGGUCUCCCUGGGCCUGGCCACCACACACUGGAGCCACUGAGUCCAGGACAGGACCAUUUAGGAUUGGCCACCUCUGGCUGGCAGGAGGAGAAGGGCAGUGCCCACUGAUGAUCCACAGCUGGCAGAGCCAUCUCCUGUCCUCGUGGGGCAGAAGCCUGUGACAGAGCUGUCUGUGUUUUGAGAGCACAAGGUUAUCUGGGGCAGAAACCUCACAAACUGUGGUGAGGCAGAGCCUCGUGCUUCCUGCCAGCUGCGGGCACUGUCCCAACAGAGCUGCACACAGGACAUCAGUCUGGAGCUGGUCACUGGGGCCUGUGUGCCCUGUGCUGGGACAGACACCGGGGCCCAUGACAACAACAGGUUCCUGAUCAGGCACAGGGGCUCGGUAAACAGGGGGCCAGGGUCCUGGUGCCGAAGGAAUCCAUUUGUAGAGCUCGUGCCAGCUCCACCUGCAGCUGCCUCCCCAGCUCUGACACCACAGCCAGAGGCAGCGCCAGGAACCCCUUCUCCACCAGCUGCACAGCUGGGGAUCCUGGUGGUUGCACGGCGGGCAUCAGCUCCUGAGCUCCAGAAGGGGCAAGCUCCUGCCCCACCCCUGCCAUUCCCCUCCAUUACUCUUGGUCAUGUUUUGGCAUAUAUUUUUGCUCUUAUUUUCUG
rnacentral:lncRNA from 1 species